AUUGAACGCUGGCGGCAGGCCUAACACAUGCAAGUCGAGCGGAUGAAGGGAGCUUGCUCCUGGAUUCAGCGGCGGACGGGUGAGUAAUGCCUAGGAAUCUGCCUGGUAGUGGGGGAUAACGUCCGGAAACGGGCGCUAAUACCGCAUACGUCCUGAGGGAGAAAGUGGGGGAUCUUCGGACCUCACGCUAUCAGAUGAGCCUAGGUCGGAUUAGCUAGUUGGUGGGGUAGAGGCCUACCAAGGCGACGAUCCGUAACUGGUCUGAGAGGAUGAUCAGUCACACUGGAACGGAGACACGGUCCAGACUCCUACGGGAGGCAGCAGUGGGGAAUAUUGGACAAUGGGCGAAAGCCUGAUCCAGCCAUGCCGCGUGUGUGAAGAAGGUCUUCGGAUUGUAAAGCACUUUAAGUUGGGAGGAAGGGCAGUAAGUUAAUACCUUGCUGUUUUGACGUUACCAACAGAAUAAGCACCGGCUAACUUCGUG
rnacentral:rRNA from 1 species